AUUUUAUUUUUAUUUUUAUGAUUCUGAGCAUUGCGAGAAAUAUGUUGAGUUUACAAUGAUGUGUUUUUUUUUAUAUGUAUUUGUCUGUAAAUAUGAAAAGUAGUAGAAAAAAAUGAUUUGAUUUUCAACUUUGGUGGUGGCUUCUGGUAGCAGAUUGAAUCUGGUAGGUAAUUUUGAGUGGUCAAUAAUGAAAAUUCCUAGUACCUUUUAUUUUAGUCACAAGAAAAAUCAUUUUAAAGCAGUACAAAUGUUUACAUUUUGUACUCAUUAUGUUUUCCAGCUGUUUUAAUUUUUUUAAAGAUAAUUUGUUCAUCCAAUCCAGAUAACAAUACUCACAGUAAUUGGAACAUUUUUUAGUGGCUUCAAAAACUGAGGACAUUUAAGAAUUUUAUUAAUCAAUUAACCCUUCAAUAGGAACAAAUUUGCCGCAGUGCCUACGAGUUUGUUGGAAGAUAAUCUUUGGUAGUGACAAAAUCUUCAACCUCAAAAAAAAUCAUUAAUUUUUUUAACAAAACUUAAUCAAUUUUGGCACAAAUCUUAUAUGUAAUCAUUGAUAGUUAAUCAUCAUUGCACUUUAAUUAAUUUGUUUUUAUAAAGUCACUAUCAUUUUCCAUAUUUGCAAAUACAUUAAAGAUGGAUAAUUUAGUCUUGUGUAGUUGUGUACAUACAUUUUUAAAUCAAACAACUAAACGUACCUUAACUUUUGUCAGCUGCUAAGGUCUACGGAUUUGAUAUUAGUUUGAAAAUGAGUUAACAGAUAUAUUCCGUAUAUAAUUGAUAAUCCCAAUUUUAUUUAUGUGGGUAGGGUAUCAUUUUUAGUUACAACACAUAUUAUGUUAAUUUACACCAAAGAUGCAAAGAUUUUUUAGUUCUUAGGAAAAGAUUAAGUCACUAUUUUCGUAACAACAAUUUUCGGUUUGGAACCAGCUGUUCUGUUGAUUUGAUUAAUAAUUUGUCUACUAGUUUAUAAUGUAAGUGCUAGGUACUUAAUAAAGGCUGAUGGGCAACCACUUUAUCCUACAUUCAAUGUACAGAAAAGGUGAAGAAUAUAAAUUUUAAUAAACUGCUUACAAUACUCUUAAAUCAUCAGCAUGAUUAACCAUAUCUUAUUUAAACACUAUUUAAUAUUUUACAUAUUUAAGUUGGAAUUUAAAAAUUAGAAAAAAAAUUAAGAUAGUUUCAAUUUAAACUACAACCAAUGUCAAAUUUUAAAAUUAGGAUUAAAUAAAAACAAUGGUUUUAAAGCAUCAUCAUUUUGAGUGGAGAUUCAUGAAGUCUAUCAUUCCAAUCACCACUGAAAUAAAUUGAGUAUUAAUCACCAAUAACAACAAAUAUUUUUUAAACCAAUUUUAAUCAAUAGAAUAUAAUAAUUUCACAACAACGAAAAUAAAAAGGUAAAACACCUCAACGAAAUUAACAUCAUUCUAUUACAAAUUAUUAUGCUGUCAAUCUAAUAUACUUGGAUUCCCAUUUUGAAAUAUGACAAUAACAUUAAAGCUAUCAAUAAUGUUUAUAAUAAAAUAAUAAAAUAAUAAAUACUAUUACUACUUAUUAAAAUGUUUUCAUGACUUUAAUUUAAUGGGAAUUUAAAGACUAUUUUCUACAUUUGUUUACCAUAUUAAAAACAUACAGUAAUUAUUUUUUUGUAUUCAUAAUGGAAUGUACAA